rnacentral:rRNA from 1 species
AUCUUGCGCAAUGGUCUAACGACUGACGCAGCGACGCCGCGUGUGGGAUGACGGCCUUCGGGUUGUAAACCACUGUCGGGAGGGACGAAUGCGCCGCAAGGCGAGUGACGGUACCUCCUUAGCAAGCACCGGCUCACUCUGUGCCAGCAGCCGCGGUAAGACAGAGGGUGCAAACGUUGUUCGGAAUUACUGGGCGUAAAGCGCGUGUAGGCAGCUUCGCAAGUCGGAUGUGAAAGCCCUGGGCUCAACCUAGGAAGUGCACUCGAAACUGCGGAGCUUGAGUCUCGGAGAGGAUCGCGGAAUUCUCGGUGUAGAGGUGAAAUUCGUAGAUAUCGAGAGGAACACCGGUGGCGAAGGCGGCGAUCUGGACGAUGACUGACGCUGAGACGCGAAAGCGUGGGGAGCAAAC